UCCGGUUGAUCCUGCCGGACCCGACUGCUAUUUGGGUGAGGAUAAGCCAUGCGAGUUGAAUGGGAUACCUAAAGUUCCCAUGGCAAACUGCUCAGUAACACAUGAUCAACUUGCCCUAUAGAGAAAAAUAACCUCGGGAAACUGAGGAUAAUGUUUCAUAACUGAAUUGGCUUGGAAAAGUUUUUCAGUGAAAGGGAUAAAAUAAAUGGUUUUUAUCUGCUAUAGGAUAGGAUCGUGUUCGAUUAUGGUUGUUGGUGAGGUAAUGGCUCACCAAGCCGAUAAUCGAUAGGGGCCGUGAGAGCGGGAGCCCCGAGAUGGGUACUGAGACAACGACCCAGGCCUUACGAGGCGCAGCAGGCGCGAAACCUCCGCAAUACACGAAAGUGUGACGGGGUUACCCAAAGUGUUCAAUUUUGAACUGUGGUAGGUGAGUAAUGUUCCCUACUAGAAAGGAGAGGGCAAGGCUGGUGCCAGCCGCCGCGGUAAAACCAGCUCUUCAAGUGGUCGGGAUAAUUAUUGGGCUUAAAGUGUCCGUAGCCGGUUUAGUAAGUUCCUGGUAAAAUCGGGUAGCUUAACUAUCUAUAUGCUAGGAAUACUACUAUACUAGAGGGCGGGAGAGGUCUGAGGUACUACAGGGGUAGGGGUGAAAUCUUAUAAUCCUUGUAGGACCACCAGUGGCGAAGGCGUCAGACUGGAACGCGCCUGACGGUGAGGGACGAAAGCCAGGGGAGCGAACCGGAUUAGAUACCCGCGUAGUCC
rnacentral:rRNA from 1 species